rnacentral:rRNA from 1 species
CCUACGGGUGGCAGCAGUGGGGGAUAUUGCACAAUGGGGGAAACCCUGAUCCAGCAACGCCGCGUGAGUGAAGACGUAUUUCGGGUUGUAAACCUCAGUGAUCAGGGAAGAAACAGAUGGUAGUUCCUUAAAAGGCACCUCCUAAUAACUACGUGCCAGCCGCCGCGGUACUUCGUAGGGAGCAAGCGUUCUCCGGAUUUACUGGGUGUAAGGGGGGCGUAGGCGGGGCCACAAGUCAGAAGUGAAAUACCGGGGCUCAACUCCUGGGCUGCGCUUGAAACUGUGUUUCUUGAGUGAAGUAGAGGCAGGCGGAAUUCCUAGUGUAGCGGUGGAAUGCGUAGAUAUUAGGAGGAACACCAGUGGCGAAGGCGGCCUGCUGGGCAGUAACUGACGUUGAUGCUCGAAAGCAUGGGGAGCAAACAGGAUUAGAUACCCGAGUAGUC